CGAAAGCUAAUAAUAUCUCGUAAAAUCAUUCGUCGUUACUUUGUCGUAAAAAAUGUUUCCGUCUUCAAUUUGUCGUUAAUUUCUUCGUUUUUAUUACGACAUUCUAUUUUACGACGAAAUCGAGACGACGCUUGGUUAUACCCUAAAACUGAAACCCCAAACCCCAAACAUCAUAAAUUAUACUCUAAACCCGAAACAACAUAAGUUAUAAUCCCCAAACACCAAAAUUUCAUAACUUAU
rnacentral:lncRNA from 1 species